rnacentral:rRNA from 1 species
GAGGAAGUAAAAGUCGUAACAAGGUUUCCGUAGGUGAACCUGCGGAAGGAUCAUUACUGUGAUUUUAACAUUUACACUGCGUGAGCGCACACAACACCUAAACAUAUGUGGCGAUUGUCAACUACAACUAAACAAACCAAAACUUUCAACAACGGAUCUCUUGGUUCUCGCAUCGAUGAAGAGCGCAGCGAAAUGCGAUACCUAGUGUGAAUUGCAGCCAUCGUGAAUCAUCGAGUUCUUGAACGCACAUUGCGCCCUCUGGUAUUCCAGGGGGCAUGCCUGUUUGAGCGUCGUUUCCUUCUUGCGCAAGCAGAGAUGGUGGGGGGCCGGUGUAAGCCGCCGCCUGCUGAAAAGAAACGAUGCGGCCGGAGCGAACUAAAACAGGUUGCGCUUGGCCGCCGGACUUUAAUACUAAGCUCGACCUCAAAUCAGGUAGGAAUACCCGCUGAACUUAAGCAUA